GGUGCAAUGGCAACAACUGCUCCAUCUUUCCUUACCCUUAGGGUAAGGGUUCGAACCCUGAUGUCGACAUCUUUUCCCCAUUUUUGGCCGGUGUUUUUUUCUCCCUUUUUUGCUCAUUUUAUUCUUUUUCUUUGCGUGCUUUUUUUUUCUGUUUUUUUACAAUGUUUUUUACUUUUUUAUAAUAAUAAUUAUUUGAAAUAAUUAUACAUAUCAAUAAUUAUUUUUAUACAUAGUAAUAAUUAUUUGAUAAAAUAACUAAAUGUAAUGUUUCUAAAUAAUUACAUUUGUUCACGAUAAUUGUUACUUUUAUUUAUGAGAACUUGUACGUUUAGUUAUAUGAUC
rnacentral:lncRNA from 1 species